GCCCCCAUCGUCUAGCGGCCCAGGACCCCGCCCUUUCACGGCGGUAGCACCGGUUCGAAUCCGGUUGGGGGUA
rnacentral:tRNA from 2 species